UCAUCAAGAUUCCAUGUGCAUCCCAAAAG
rnacentral:sRNA from 1 species